UACGGGGGGGGCAAGCGUUGUUCGGAAUUACUGGGCGUAAAGGGCUCGUAGGUGGCCAACUAAGUCAGACGUGAAAUCCCUCAGCUUAACUGGGGAACUGCGUCUGAUACUGGAUGGCUUGAGAUUGGGAGAGGGAUGCGGAAUUCCAGGUGUAGCGGUGAAAUGCGCAGAUAUCAGGAAGAACACCCGUGGCUAAGGCGGCUCUCUAGUACGGUACUGACGCUGAGACGCGAAAGCGUGGGGAGCGAACAGG
rnacentral:rRNA from 1 species